GCCCAAUCUCGGGAUUGGCAAAGUCAAACGUUUACUAGGAAAUUCAGCCAAGCGACGGAGAUUAACGCGCUUGAUCAUCUUCCCAAAGGGCGAGUUAUUUUCAGAAAACCAGACUUGAAUACGCACCGAAUUUCACACUCCGCCCCACAGUUUCUUUAAAGUAAAUAAGUGUCUAAAAUGAUGACAGUAAAACCUGUGGUUUCACAUCGUGAGUGUCUGCAAAGUCUCAUAUUCUCUUGGUGAAAUUUCCUGGCAGAAGCAAAGCUUUCCCGAGGAGGGGAGGAGGACAGGCCGUCUGGCUCCUGACUGCACGUGUGUCUGGGAAUAUUAGGAUCAUUUUCAACUGCCCAUCUUUAGCCCAGAGCUACUUUUUAUUCUUUCUUAAGAGAAAAAAACAUUCCAAGAAGCGAAAAAGUAUAGUCAAAUCUUAUCCUCUGUGCAAGGGGGCAAAAUCAACGCGUCUUCCCCACUUUCCUCCGGGAACGAACCACAGGAGAUAUGUCUCAUCUUCAAGCAGUGCUGUGCUGGCAAACCAGCUCUUGAGAGGAAGACCAAAAUCCUGAUCUGUAGCAUUUGCCAAUUUCCGUGGUAUAAAUAUUCCUACCAUGGCUCAUUUGAAGGCAUCCAGAGAUUACCACCAGCUCCCCAAAUUCCUGAAUGUUUAACAAUUAGUUCUCAGAAAAUGGGAUAAGCCAGCUUCCGCUUACCAGUCUCUUGAAGAAAAGUAUCAUUAUUGGCCACAACAUGCAUUAUUCGUGCAGUGUAUGUAGAUAGCUCUACCAGGCAUUGAUAAAGUCGCAAUGGAAAAGAUAAACAAUAGAAAUGAUCUCUUCCAUUAAGAAACUUACAAUUGAACAAAAGGAAAAAAACCCACAACAACGAAGCACUGCAAAGACACAGCUGGACAGAGCCCUCUUUUUCUGCUACAUCAGUUUGAAAUAGUCUCUCCCUUCUGGACACAACUUUUCAGACAGUCAGGGUCUCCAGGAGAGGCCAGGCAGUGCAACCAAGAUGGUGCCAGGCAUUGAGACCACAUGGUUUGGGGAUGGGGGGGAGAACCAAGCGUGUCCGGCAUGGGAUCGAGGAGAUAUGGAGGAACAAGAAGCACUUUACAAAUCCAAGGGCUCCCAAGGGGGGUGUCACUCGAAAGUUUGUACAAGUGAUUUUCUCCUGUUGCAAAGCGGUGAACUAGAUCUACUGGGUGUGAGCCACAAGGAAGCAGAUCCCUGUCCACCCGAGGAAAUCUUUCCAAAAACGGGAGACGACCUCAUGACACAGGUAUUAGCUACUCCUUCAGAGAUGAGGAAACCGAGGCUUGGAGAGGCCACGUAACUUCCCCGAGGUCCUCCACGGCAGAAGCAGAAUGCAAACCGCAUCUCCUAAUUCAAGUGUUUUUUCUCAGAAUGAUUUUAGAACGUGCCGCGUGGAAAGGCGAACAGCUGGUUAAAGAAGCUGAAGGAUGUGCUUCUGCCAGGAGCCCCUGGGCCAGGCACCAUCCCAGGCACUGGACUAGGGGUUUGAGCUGGACACAGAGUCCAUUCUGUGCUACUUCAGGUUUCUAAAUAAGUAAAAGAGUGUUGUCCCAGAGAUGGUCAUAAUUUACCUACUUAGACACCCUGAGGGGGAAACUUAGAGUCAGAAAUCAUACAUAUGAAUGGAGUUUGCAGACCACCUUGGACAUCUUCCCUCUACAGAAGAGGACGGGGUGAGUCUACCAAGGACGGCUCAGAACAAAAGUAUCCCGCUCCUGGGGAAAUGUCGUGGUAAAUGCUCUCUAUGUAGUGGCACGUAUUUUUCAUUCAAAGCUCAUAGAACAUAGCUUGGGGGGA
rnacentral:lncRNA from 1 species